rnacentral:rRNA from 1 species
AUUGAACGCUGGCGGCAGGCCUAACACAUGCAAGUCGAGCGGAGCGGCGGACGGGUGAGUGAUGCCUAGGAAUCUACCUGGUAGUGGGGGAUAGCGACCGGAAGCGGGCGCUAAUACCGCCUAUUAUCAGAUGAACCUAGGUCGGAUUAGCUAGUUGGUGGGGUAAAGGCUUACCAAGGCGACGAUCCGUAACUGGUCUGAGAGGAGGAUCAGUCACACUGGAACUGAGACACGGUCCAGACUCCUACGGGAGGCAGCAGUGGGGAAGAUUGGACAAUGGGCGAAAGCCUGAUGCAGCCAUGCCGCGUGUGUGAAGAAGGCCUUCGGAUUGUAAAGUACUUUAAGUUGGGAGGCGUUACCAACAGAAUAAGCACCGGCUAACUUCGUGCCAGCCGCCGCGGUAAUUC